rnacentral:lncRNA from 1 species
AUGCAGACUAGGCUGACCCGUCGUCCUCAGGGAGCUGCUUCGGCUGCGUUCUGUUGUCUGAGCCGUGGCCUUCGCGGACACCUGCGUGUUGGCCGCCGGAUCCCCGUCUGUACAGCCUGGGUGCCUGUGGGCCUGGGGUAUGACCUUGUUCACCUGCGCAUGGCUCCCGCCUCCCCGCGGCCUCCUUCAGCCAAGUCUCCAGGCUCCAGUCCCACCCGGGACGUCAGGGGGAGGAAGCAAGUCAGACCGAAACCCAAGCAGCUGAGACACAAGCGAAGGGGCGGGAAGCUGUUCCAGACGGGGAGCAGAAAUUCGGGGUGCUCUGAGGUGAGAGAAGCGCUUGCCUGGAGGAGCUGUGGGGGUGGGCAGGGCGUGGCGGGGCACGGCGUGGUGGGCCCUGGUCUCUCUCCACAGAGCCAGAGAUGGUCUCUAAGCAGGGUGGUGCUGGGACCCACUGGUAUCUAAGGAGAGCAGGAGGGGCAGGUGUGGGGUAGGCAUCCAGGGGAGAGAGGACGGUGGAUUCCAGUCUGGGGGAGGGUGAGUGGGGCCCAGGGAUGGUGCUGACCCUGGGGAGAGCCGUGAGAGGGGGCUUGUGGGGUCUGCCGCCCCCAUCUCCCAAACCUCAGGAAGGACGUUUCCCUCCUCCUCCUCCUCUUCCUCACAGGAGGGGCGGAUGGACGAAGGGGGCGCUGGGGCUCCCCAUGCCUUCCGCUGAAAUCCACCAGCCACCUGCCCCCGGGGUGCGGAGGGGGCGGGGCACAAGGACCAGGCCA